UUUAAUUGAAGAGUUUGAUCAUGGCUCAGAUUGAACGCUGGCGGCAGGCCUAACACAUGCAAGUCGAGCGGUAACAGGAGAAAGCUUGCUUUCUUGCUGACGAGCGGCGGACGGGUGAGUAAUGUAUGGGGAUCUGCCCGAUAGAGGGGGAUAACUACUGGAAACGGUGGCUAAUACCGCAUAAUGUCUACGGACCAAAGCAGGGGCUCUUCGGACCUUGCACUAUCGGAUGAACCCAUAUGGGAUUAGCUAGUAGGUGGGGUAAAGGCUCACCUAGGCGACGAUCUCUAGCUGGUCUGAGAGGAUGAUCAGCCACACUGGGACUGAGACACGGCCCAGACUCCUACGGGAGGCAGCAGUGGGGAAUAUUGCACAAUGGGCGCAAGCCUGAUGCAGCCAUGCCGCGUGUAUGAAGAAGGCCUUAGGGUUGUAAAGUACUUUCAGCGGGGAGGAAGGUGAUAAGGU
rnacentral:rRNA from 1 species